rnacentral:rRNA from 1 species
UACGUAGGUGACAAGCGUUGUCCGGAUUUACUGGGCGUAAAGAGCGCGCAGGCGGUCGAUCAAGUCGAGUGUGAAAGCCCCCGGCUCAACUGGGAGGGUCAUUCGAUACUGAUCGACUCGAAGGCAGGAGAGGGUAGUGGAAUUCCCGGUGUAGUGGUGAAAUGCGUAGAUAUCGGGAGGAACACCAGUGGCGAAGGCGACUACCUGGCCUGUUCUUGACGCUGAGGCGCGAAAGCUAGGGGA